rnacentral:rRNA from 1 species
GUUUCAGGAUCAAAGGUGGCCUCUACAUGUAAGCUACUGUUUGGGGAUGAGCCCGCGUACCAUUAGCUUGUUGGUAGGGUAAUGUCCUACCAAGGCUACGAUGGUUAGCUGGUCUGAGAGGAUGAUCAGCCACACUGGAACUGACACACGGUCCAGACUCCUACGGGAGACAGCAGUGAGGAAUUUUGCGCAAUGGGGGAAACCCUGACGCAGCAACGCCGCGUGAGUGAUGAAGGCUUUCGGGUCGUAAAGCUCUGUCAAGUGGGAACUCAUAUGGUGUUAAUACUGCCAUAUGCUGACGGUACCACUGAAGGAAGCACCGGCUAACUCCGUGCCAGCAGCCGCGGUAAUACGGGGGGUGCGAGCGUUAUUCGGAAUUACUGGGCGUAAAGAGCGCGUAGGCGGUCUUUUAAGUCAGGUGUGAAAGCCCGGGGCUCAACCCCGGAAGUGCACUUGAAACUAAGAGACUUGAGUAUGGGAGAGGGAAGUGGAAUUCCUGGUGUAGCGGUGAAAUGCGUAGAUAUCAGGAGGAACAUCGGUGGCGAAGGCGACUUCCUGGACCAAUACUGACGCUGAGGCGCGAAGGCGUGGGGAGCAAACAGGAUUAGAUACCCUGGUAGUCCACGCAGUAAACGGUGAACACUAGGUGUAGCGGGUAUUGACCCCUGCUGUGCCGCAGCAAACGCAUUAAGUGUUCCGCCUGGGGAGUACGGCCGCAAGGUUAAAACUCAAAGGAAUUGACGGGGGCCCGCACAAGCGGUGGAGCAUGUGGUUUAAUUCGACGCAACGCGAAGAACCUUACCUAGGUUUGACAUCCCGGGAAUUCUGUGGAAACACGGAAGUGCCCUUCGGGGAGCCCGGUGACGGGUGCUGCAUGGCUGUCGUCAGCUCGUGUCGUGAGGUGUUGGGUUAAGUCCCGCAACGAGCGCAACCCCUUUCUUUAGUUACCAUCAUUUAGUUGGGGACUCUAAAGAUACUGCCCCGGUUAACGGGGAGGAAGGUGGGGAUGACGUCAAGUCCUCAUGGCCUUUAUACCUAGGGCUACACACGUGCUACAAUGGACUGUACAAAGGGUUGCCAGCCUGUGAAGGUGAGCCAAUCCCAUAAAGCAGUUCGUAGUUCGGAUUGGAGUCUGCAACCCGACUCCAUGAAGCUGGAAUCGCUAGUAAUCGUGGAUCAGAACGCCACGGUGAAUACGUUCCCGGGCCUUGUACACACCGCCCGUCACACCAUGAGAGUUGGUUGUACCAGAAGUCGUUGGGCAAACCUUUCGAGGACGCAGGCGCCUAAGGUAUGGCUGAUGAUUGGGGUGAAGUCGUAACAAGGUA